CCCUUAGAUUUUCUGGGCCGCACGCGCGCUACACUGAUGCAUUCAACGAGUCUAAAACCUGCUCUGAUAGGGGUGGGUAAUCUUUUGAAUGUGCAUCGUGAUUGGGAUAGAUGAUUGCAAUUUUUCAUCUUCAACGAGGAAUGCCUAGUAAACGCAAGUCAUCAGCUUGCAUUGCUUACGUCCCUGCCCUUUGUACACACCGCCCGUCGCUCCUACCGAUUGAAUGAUCCGAUGAAUAUCAUGGAUUGAGGAUGCAAGCAGGUUCGCCUGUCUUCAUCUUCGAGAAGUGAAGUAAAUCUUAUCAUUUAGAGGAAGGAGAAGUCGUAACA
rnacentral:rRNA from 1 species